GCGGCCGCGGUGCGCCGGAAGUUCUCGAGAGACACGUCACUUCCGCAGGUCAAUCUAGCGCCGCGAGAUCUCACCUACCCGGAACCAGUGGCCGUUUCCUUGGAAACGGCCCCGCUGCCGCUGCUCGCCGUAGCCGGAAGUUAGCUUGUUUUUCCUCCUCUCUUCUUUUGUUUACAGAUAAUGAACAAAGAGAGACCCUAGAAAAAAGGGUAUAGUGCUCUGAAGGAGUGAAACAGGUUCUAUAAGGUCAUGCAGUAGAGGAAACCAACCUAACCUGGGAACAAGAGGGAAGGCGUUCUUAAAGAAAUGACACAAACUACCAACAUAAACGUUCAAAUCUGCGAAGAAUUUUUUGAACCACACUGUGGAGAAUUUCUGGGAAGCAAAAUUUCAACAGAUUGAGAUAACAGAAAUGUUGGCUAUUCAGGAGGAAUGCGGCUCUGCUGAAGCCUUGCUCUCGGACUUCCAGCAUCAAAACUGUGAGACAAUUUCUCUUGUUUAAACAACAACAAAAUGUUGACUUUCUGGGUAAAUACAAUAGACUAUUUUUUUCCUCUUAAAAUAUUUUAAAUAUAUGUAAUGAUUGAAAACCAAAUUUAUUAUA